rnacentral:rRNA from 1 species
AUUGAACGCUGGCGGCAUGCCUUACACAUGCAAGUCGAACGGUAACAGGUCUUCGGAUGCUGACGAGUGGCGAACGGGUGAGUAAUACAUCGGAACGUGCCCAGACGUGGGGGAUAACGAGGCGGAAGCUUUGCUAAUACCGCAUACGAUCUAAGGAUGAAAGCAGGGGACCGCAAGGCCUUGCGCGUUUGGAGCGGCCGAUGGCAGAUUAGGUAGUUGGUGGGAUAAAAGCUUACCAAGCCGACGAUCUGUAGCUGGUCUGAGAGGACGACCAGCCACACUGGGACUGAGACACGGCCCAGACUCCUACGGGAGGCAGCAGUGGGGAAUUUUGGACAAAGGGCGAAAGCCUGAUCCAGCAAUGCCGCGUGCAGGAUGAAGGCCUUCGGGUUGUAAACUGCUUUUGUACGGAACGAAAAGGCUCUGGCUAAUACCUGGGGCACAUGACGGUACCGUAAGAAUAAGCACCGGCUAACUACGUG